CCUAAAGGGAAUCAAAAGCAUUUCCAUAUUAUUUCUGAAAGGCCAAUCAGGAAACAAACAUGAACAGUCCCUUCAGCCCACGGAAUACAUAUAGCACUUGGCAAGUCGCCUAGAACACCAGGGCCCACCACACAGACCAUCUUUUUUUUUUUUGAGAUGAAGUCUCACUCUGUCGCACUCAGGCUGGAGUGCAGUGGCACGAUCUCGGCUCACUGCAACCUCCACCCCCAGGUUCAAGGGGUUUUUCCGCCUCAGUCUUCCAAGUAGCUGGGAUUACAGGUACCCGCCACCACACCCAGUUAAAAUUUUGUAAUUUUAGUAGAGAUGGCAUUUCACCAUAUUGGUCAGGGUGAUCUUAAACUCCCAACCUCAGGUGAUCCGCCCACCUUGGCCUCCCAAAGAGUUGGGAGCCACCAUGCCUGGCCCAGAGAUAAUCUUAAUCCACAAAUACCUCCUUAAGGAAAUUUCUUUCCGAAGUGAAUCAGUCACCCACACUUCUAUUAAAGUUACUCAACAGUUUCCCUAGUUCCUAACACUAUUCUUUAAUAGUUUCCAUUCUUUUUGUUCAUUUAUUUUUUCAAUAGGGAUUUAUUGGAUCUCAGUUCCUUUCUGUGCUACUGACUAAACCUUCCUUCACUAAAUUAUUCAUUUUUCAUAUUGGAGCAGUCACUCCCCAGUGUACUGAGUUGCUACUCAGUACACUUGUUGGACUGACUACUGCUGUACUAAUUUUGUAUUGGUAAAUAAUGUCUUUUCAAUCUUACCUGAUGUCGUAACUGCUGGCAGAUUAAAGAUCUCAGUUCCUGGCUGAGCAGCUGCUAUAUUUAAGCAAACAUUUAAGUUAAUUAAGAUGUGAUAAUCAUAUAUACCAAACUAAAGUCUCAAAAAAUUCCUAUAAUAAAAUCUUUUAAUUUUUCAUGAUCCCCACCUUUGUUUUUCACUCAUUGAGUGAAUAAAAUGGAAGAACAUUUUUUUGAGAUGGCAUCUCGCUCUGUUGCCCAGGCUUAGUUUUUUAAAAGGAAAUCAUGAAAUAGGUAAGUAGGAACAUCAAAAGGGGAUUAGUAAGCUGGGUGCGGUGGCGCGCUUCCGGUCCCCCAGCUACGCAGGAGGCUGAGGCAGUAAGACUGCUUGAGCUCAGGAAUUUGAGGCCAGCCUGGGCAACACAGUGAGACUAUCCCAUCUGUUAACAAAAAAGGGGGAAAAAAAGUAAAUAAAUAAAGGAGCAAUGUAACCCAGAAAAAGGGGAAGAAAGUUUGCACUGCUGGAGAAACAAAUAUGAAAAUGCUGUGCUUAGAACAGGAAUCAAGACUUUCUAACGAAGAAGAAACCGCGGACUCUGAGAUGACCGCAACAAGUACCCAGGCAGCCUGGGAUUCGAUCCAGAGGAAAGGUGCCUCAGUGUGUGCUGCGAAAAUGACUGUGUACUUCCCUGUAUGGCUAACUAGAAACUCAGGAUCUGUGCUGGGAAAAAAAGACUGUUAAUCCUUGUCAUUUCUGCUGACUGUGCAACUUGUAACCUGCAGUUUGAAAAACAGCAUAAGACCUGUGAACCACCUAUAAUAAAGCAGUGUGCCUUUAUUAUAGGGGAAGAAUUUAGGACAUAAAUGGUGUUUCUGUCAUUCCUGAUUUGAUGCUGAGAAUUUCAGAGAGAAAAAAGGAAUUCAGGAAGCAAGUGGGUGGGCAAAUGAUGUCCCAAAAAAUGUGAAAAUUUUUUCUUUGUUUUGAGACACAGUUUUGUUCUUGUCACCCAGGCUGGAGUACAAUGGUGUGAUCUAGGCUCACUGCAGCCUCUGCCGCCCAGGUUCAAGCAAUUCUCCUGCCUCAGCCUCCCAAGUAGCUGGGAUGACAGGCCUCUACCACCAUGUCCAGCUAAGUUUUGUAUUUUUAGUAGAAACGGGGUUUCACCAUGUUGGCCAAGCUGGUCUCAAACUCUUGACCUCAGGUGAUCCAUCUGCCUUCCAAAGUGCUGGGAUUAUAGGCAUAGGCCACUGUGCUCAGCCAGAAUAUGAAAUUUGUAAUGACACCAAAGAAAGAUGGACUCUUAACCAAGGGGUGAGCACAUUAAAGAAGAGGGAAGAGUGCAUGUGCCUAGAAACAAACUUGGUUGAUCAGGGAGGCUUUAAACUGACAAAGAGAAGAGAAAAGUCUUCAGAAGAACUAGGAAACAAUGGCCAUGGAUGAUAGUCUUACUUAUGAGCCAGGUGACAAGGUAAAUAAACUGAGCCUGAAAUAACAGAGCCUUGUUAUCAUAAAGUACGUGGAAGGGGAGUCAUUCAUUCAUUAGAUAUUUAAUUAAGCAGUUAUUUUGAUGAAUCAUAAGAUUACCUUCUUAUUGAUCAAAAAUGGUCAGAUGAAUACAAUUUCCUAUAGUUAACCAAUGAUAAUCCUUAGAUACUACAUUUGCAGAACACCCCUUCCUUUGCUUAUGGAGCUUACAGUGCAGUGUGGUACUUGCUGAGGCCAUACAAAUCAGAAUCACCUGGGGUAGCUUAGUAAAUUUUCUACAUUCCUAGGGCCCUAUAAUUCAACUAUUUAAUAAGCAAUCCAGGUGACUGGUACCUACUGUUGAGCAAAAAUGUGGUAACUGCUCAGAAAUUAGCAGAAGGGAAGGUAGACAUGUGAAAGCCACGUCCAGUGGAGGCCAACUUGACAGGAGGAAGUAACUACCAUCAGGAGGCAGAGAGGCCAGGAUAGUGAUGGCCAGAGUGAGGGCAACUGCGGUAGGGAAGGAGGAACUUUUUGUAUGGGGAGGUAGACUAUGAAUUCAAUUUUAGAUGCUUAGGGAGCCAGUAAGUUAGUCAAGAAGUAAUGAGGUCUGCAAAGGUAUGUAGGUAGAGCUUAGCAGGAAAAGCUGGACUGCAGAUACAAAUUUGGGAGUUUUCAGCAUACAAGUGACCAUUCAAAUCCCAGAGUAGAUAAGAUGACUCAGAUUAUAAAGCAUGAGGAGAAAGGGACUAAGAAGUGAGCCCUGGGGAAAACCAACAAUCAGGGGCCAGGCAAAGCAAGACUGAGCUUCUAAGGAGAUGGAAAUGGCCAGAGAAGUAGAAAGAGAACAUGGUAUCAGAAAACCAAGAGAAGAAAGCAUUUCGGGAAAAGGAAAGUCAUUCACUGUUAAAAGCUGCAAAGAGAUCCAAUAAAGUAAAUUUUAAAACAUUAAGGUUUUCAAAAAAAAUAAAGUCAUUGAUGUCCUUGGGAACACUGAGUUCAGAUACAAUGAGGUGAAGUGAAGCUGUGCUGGUUGCUGAUGGGUUUCAUUUAGUUUUACUUCCCAGUAAGGGCUAAAUGUGCCCACUGGUUCUUUAAUAUAAAUUUUCCUUUCCACCAUGAAAAACUGUUCUUGCAAAAAAAAAAAAAUCCCAGACCUGAAAGCAAUUCUGUUAGUACUUCCCUUAAGACAUGAUUAUCUCCUAUUAAAGUUAGGUAUUCAUUUCAUCAUCAUUUUCAGAGAAUAGGGACCAUCCAUCAUACUAAAAUACCCAAUACAGCAGUAUCCUACUCAAAACAUUAGGCAGAAAGGAAAAACUAUAAAGUAGGCUUCUUAGUUCAUACAGGGCAUUUCCCUGUCAAGAGUUUCCCACUUCAAGGGCAAGACAGACGAGAGGAUGAGAGUAAACCAUACAAUGGUGAAAUGAUUUGAACCUCAGUUCCUGGCUGCUCUGGUAUCUCUAGCUCUCCAUGCUCACACAAAUUCAUCUCUGAGUUCCGAGAGCAUUUGAAAACGAGGGCAUAUUUUUGUUGAUGACACUUGAGGAGCUGUAAAUAAUAAACUGUUGAAGACUGGUGAUAGAAAAUACUAGUAACGGUAUUUUUUUAAAAGAAGGGCGGCCGGGCAUGGUGGUUCAAUUCUGUAAUCCCCGCACUUUGGGAGGCCAAGGCAGGUGGAUCACGUGACGUCAUGAGUUCAAGAUCAGCCUGGCCAACAUGGAGAAACCCCAUCUCUACUAAAAAUACAAAAUUAGCCAGGUGUGGUGGCAGGCGCCUGUAAUCUCAGCUACUCAGGAGGCUGAAGCAGGAGAAUCACUUGAACCCUGGAAGCAGAGGCUGUGGUGAGCCCAGAUUGUACCACUGCACUCCAGCCUGGAUGACAGAGUAAGACUCAGGUCCCCCCACAAAAAGAAAGGCAAUCUAUAAGCCUGAUAACAAUUCUGGUCAGCAUUCUAAAAUAUUUGUCUUUCAGAUGAUUUUCUUGCCAUCUAAACAGAGAAUCUAGUAAUUAAGAGCAAGGACAAAAAAAGAAAGGCCAUCAAAAGGUUCACAAACUGGUGACACUGGCUCAUCCUUUUCUCCUUAGCGUUCAACAUUUAUCAGUCGCACAGAGUGACAGAUCUAAACAUAUAUCCAUCAGGCAGUUCACAGUGCAAGGCCCCCACUUCCCUUUCUUUUGACAGGGACAGAAGACUAGUACAUGGUAAAUUAUAGAAAUAAAGCAGAUUACCCUUUCCUCAGCUGCUGUCACAGUGCUUGGUCUUUCUGAGGAAGCUGAGCCGUGUUGGGGUGAGGCCCUCAUUUCAUCACGCAACUAGCACUGUGUCCAGCAGCGCCAGCCCCACAGUCGCCCAUGCCAUGGCCCCCAACUCUGAGCAUGCCGGCAUCUACUUGGCCCUCACUCUGCAUGAAGAUGUGACGACCAUCUCGGAGGAUAAGAUCAAUGCCCUCAUUAAAGUAGCUGGUGUAAAUGUUGAACCUUUUUGGCCCGCUUGUUUGCAAAGGCCCUGGGCAGUGUCAACAUUGAGAGCCUCAUCUGCAAUGUAGGAGCUGGUGAACCUCCUCCAGCAGCUGUGCUGCACCAGCAGGAGGUCCUGCCCCCUCCACUGCUGCUGCUCCAGCUAAGAAGAAAGUGGAAGCAAAGAAACAAGAAUCUGAGGGGGUCUGAUGAUGACAUGAGCUUUGGUCGUUUUGACUAAGUCUCUUAUAAUAUGUUUAAUACAAAGCUGAACUUUAAACAAAUAAAAAUAAAGAAUAAAGCAGACUGUGGUAUACCCAAAGUCUCUCUAUCACGAAGACUAACCUAGGAAAAGAUUAAUAAGACCAGAGAGGCAGUAAAAGUGAGUGUGCUGACAGAGUAAGAGGAGGUUUUGAUUCAUACUUGGAUGUAAACCCAGAGGAAAGGUUCUGCCACAGAGCAUUAGCUAGGGUGUCUUACUAACAGUCUGGCUAGGAUGCUGAGUAUGGAACUGUCACAAGCCCCUUGGUCCAUCAUUAGCAACAUGGAUUCUGGUGCUGGAAUGCCUGGGUUUGAACUGCAGCCUCAUUACUAUCUUAACUGUGCCAGCUCUUAACCCUGAGUCUCAGCUUCCUCAGCCAAAAAGUGGAGAUAAUUACAAUGUGUAACAUGUAGGGUUGCCGUGAGGAUUAAAUGAGAUUAUAUCUCCACAUGCUUUGAAUAGAGCUUAGCACAUAGUAAGUGCUAGAUAACCUUUUGCUACCAUUAUUAUUUUUAUAUUUGUAUUUUAUUUUAUUAUUUUUUUGAGAUGGAGACUCACUCUGUUACCCAGGCUGCAGUGCAGUAGCACAAUCUUGGCUCACUGCAACCUCUGCCUCCCAGGUUCAAGCGAUUCUCAUACUUCAGGCUCCUGAGUAGCUGGGAUUAUAGGCACACACCAUCAUGACCACCUGAUUUAUGUAUUUUUAGUAGAGAUGGGGUUUCACCAUGUUACCCAGCUGGUCUCAAACUCCUGCCCUUAAGUGAUCUGCCUGCCUCAGCCUCCCAAACUGCUGGGAUUACAGACAUGAGCCACCACACAUCCAACCAAUCUUUAUUUUUAAUUUUUUUUUUUUUUUUUAAAGACAGAGUCGCAUUCUGUUGCCCAGGCUGGAGUGCAGUGGCAUGAUCUCGGCUCACUGCAACCUCCACCUCCCAAGUUCAAGUGAUUCUCCUGCCUCAGCCUCUUGAGUAGCUGGGAUUACUGGUAGGCACACACAACCACACCCAGCUAAUUUUUUUUUUGUAUUUUCAGUAGAGACAGGGUUUCACCAUGUUGGUCGGGCUGGUCUCAAACCUGGUGAUCUGCCCGCCUGGGCCUCCCAAAGUGCUGUGAUUACAGGCAUGAGCCACCGUGCCUGGCCAAUUUUUUUUUUUUUUUUUUUUUUUGAGACAUCUCGCUCUAUGGCCUAGGCUGGAAUGCAGUGACCCAAUCAUGGCUCAUUGUAGCCUCAACUUCCCAGGCUCAAGCGAUCCUCCCACCUCAGCUUCCCAUGUAAAUGGGACCACAGGGGCAUACACCACCACGCCCAGCUGAUUUUUUUUUUUUUUUUGUAGAGACAGGGUCUCCCUGUGUUGUCCAGGCUAGUCUUGAACUCCUGGGCCGAAUCAAUCCUCCUAUCUUGGCCUCCCAAAGUGCUGUGAUUCCAGGUGUGAGCCACCGUGCCUGGCCAAUGUUCUAUUUUUACUGUGAGUUUAUCAGAGUUGCAUAUGAAUAGUGAAUGACUCAACUGAAGUACAGAAAGACACUGGUAAGGUAGAAAAGUAGUUGGACUGCAGGAAGCACAGACAGACCUGGAUUUGUCCUAUACAUGGAGCUAGUUAUUGCAAAAGUAGAGCAAGGGCAAAGUGUGGAUUAAUAGUAGCCCAAGACCUUGACAUCAACAUUCAAACUACGCUAUAACUUAAUGGUGUAACCAAAAAAGCUAAUACAGUUUUAGGCUACUUUAAAAAUGAUGUCACACCUGUGACUCCAGCACUUUGGGAGGCCGAGGCAGGGGGAUCAUGAGGUCAGGAGAUCAAGAUCAUCCUGGUCAACAUGGUGAAACCCUGUCUCUAAUAAAAAUACAAAAAAAUUAGCUGGGCAUGGUGGUGCACCACCUGUAGUCCCAGCUACUCAGGGAAGCUGAGGCAGGAGAAUCGCUUGAACCCAGGAGGCAGAGGUUGCAGUGAGCUGAGAUUGCAACAGUACACUCCAGCCUGGCAACAGAGUCAGACUGUCUCCCAAAAAAAAAAAAAAAAAAGGUGAAUUUAGCAUAUAUCAUAUUACACUACUCUAUUCUGUAUUACUUGGAACCUAGUGAAAGGCUAGGCUAAACGUUUUUGGUGGAGAAUAAUUGAGAUGGUAGGGGUACUCAUAAUGAGGUCAUGUGAUAAACAGAUGAUGAAACCGGGGACACUGAUUGAGAGGACUCCUGAAGGACAUGUCUUCAAAUAUCUGUGAGGAUGGGCCCAAAUGGACAAAACUAAGGCUCAUAGGUAGGGGAGAAAGAAAAACUAUGGAGAGUUUAUCCAGUACCCUAUAAGGAAAGGUAACCUAGACACAGCAUUUGUUCAAAGAAAAACAGCACAACUUCAGAAAGGAGCGAGCUCCUGCUUCCUCAUGAGAACUCUUCAUGGGCUGGCAGGCACUUGAGAAGGAAUGCUAGGAUCAGAUGUGUUGGACAGAUGCCUGGUAAAGAGCCUUCCAAGUCAAGCAUUAUAGGAAAGGCAACACUAGAGAUAUCACUAUUAACGCAUGUUUUAUUUGAGGUUCAUGAAAGAAAUCCCACUUACCCAUAUCAGAGUCACCUCCACCAGAGGAGUUCAACUUACGAAAAAUCUCCUGCUUCUUUGAUUUAACCAUGGGUGAUGUGUUUUCAAGCUUGGUGAAAAAUGAAGGCAAGUAGCUUAUACUCCCUGGUGAGCGGGAAUCAUUCCUGUUAGGGCCAAAGUUAAGUAUAUUACAACCAUGUACUCCUAAUCCUGGGACAUUCCUAUCAAUGAUAACAACAGUCAGAGAGUACUUAGGAAACUACUGCCUCCUCAUCCUGUGUCUGUGGUUACAGCCCUAAGAAACCAUAUGUAAUCAAAAGCCAUUUAGUACAUCAUUUGAGGACAGUCAAAUGAUUUAGCUCUCAAAAUGAAAUCAUAAAAUUAGAAUUAGAAUGGAGAUAAUCUAGAAAUUCUUAGGAAGGAAUGAAGCAGCAGCAAAUGAAUAUUAAUAGGAAAAUUCAAACAGCUUAUCAUUAUUCUCUCUGCUUAACAGCACAAACACUGAUAUAUUCAUGGUUGCCACAUAAAUUGCAAACUAUCUUACUAGAAUUAGUUUUAAGUACACUAAAAUUAUAAUAGCAUGCUUGCCUAUAAAAUAGCAAGAACUCAGAUCUAAGCAAUCGACAGCUGGAAUGGAAUGCAACAGGGAUAGUAGAGGAAUAAGACUGCCUAUUUGUUACAGUCACUUCAAGACACCUAACAAAUGAGCUGAGUUUAACAAGAAUAGUUUUAUAUUUUAUACACAGUUUAAAAAACAACUUUCCCCUAACAGCUCGAGGCCACCAAGGAUCUAGGUAGAGCCAGAGAUGAGAACAAAGAAUACAGGUUACCGACAAACUAAUCCAGUCAUGUGGAUUCAUUCAUCAUUCAAACAUAAGAACACUUACUUUAUGCCAAGAAAGACAAUUAAGGUGACAGGAACAGGAACAAGACAUGGUCCCUGUCCUCAAAAAAAACUCACAAACAUAGGAGGAAAAAUAUAAACGCAUAAUUAAAUUGAAUAUCACUCCCUCUCCAAAAAUGGAUUUUCUUCAUUUCAUUGAAAAGUAGCAGUAUCUGUUUAGUUGCCUAAGAAUAAAUGCAGUAAAUUAAUAGCAACACAUUGUAAGAAAUGCACUAGCAAUUUGGAGUUAGAAAGACCUUAGUUUAAAACUGGCCUUUCCCCAUUAGUAUCAGUAUGACCAUGAGCAAGGGACAUGUCUGGCACUUGGCACAUCACCAGAGGGUGUUCUGUGCUAGGCAAACUGCACAAGUAUUGACAGAAAGGAAUUCAGGGAAUAAUAAGCAAAAUGAUAUGGACAGAGACUCCAGUGUAGGGGUGAGGCGGUGGGAAGUAAAACUGAGUAGGCAGCAUAAACCUGGUCACGCAAGAACUCAGAUGCCGCGCUAAAGACUGGCUGCUGGAUUCUGCAGGGGUUUUAGACAAAUCACUCAGGUGGAGGUAUGGAGACUUACUGGAAAGGAGCCAACUCAAAGGCAUGUAAUCCAAAUGGGGAUAAUAAUUUAAUAAUUAAUAGGAUUGGGGUCAGGGUUACAAAGAUGUAAGAUAAAACCCAUUCAAGCCGGGUGCAGUGGCUCACACCUGUAAUCCCAGCACUUUGGGAGGCCGAGGCGGGUGGAUCAAGAGAUCGAGACCAUCCUGGUCAACAUGGUGAAACCCUGUCUCUACUAAAAAUACAAAAAAUUAGCUGGGCAUGGUGGCGUGUGCCUGUAAUCUCAGCUACUCAGGAGGCUGAGGCAGGAGAAUUGCCUGAACCCAGGAGGCAGAGGUUGCAGUGAGCAAAGAUCGCGCCAUUGCACUCCAGCCUGGGUAACAAGAGCGAAACUCCUUCUCAAAAAAAAAAGUAAUAAAAUAAAAUAAAAUCCAUUCAGAGUCCACAGUGCUUGGUGUACAAUAAGCAUUCAAAUGUUGGCUGAAUCAAUGAGUGACACUUCCCCCAGACAAAAAACAAAACAAAAAAAACUAUCUAGAAAGAUUUAAUUUCAAGAAGAAUAAUGAACAAAUAUUUUCUAACAUAUUUAAAUAUUAUGAUAUUGUGAAUAUUUUCUUUUUGCUAAAAUCCACUAGCAUUAGAUCACUAGGAAAACAGAGACAAAUGAUACUCUGAGAAUCCCAUCCAGACAUAAAAGCCCAAAGUAGAAAAAUGGCACUAACUUAAGGAAAUGUUAAAGCCUGGGCACCCACGCCAUGAAUCAGUGCUGUCACUAGGAAGUACACUUACCUCUGCUCUGUAGGCUCUGAGCCCCUCUGAGACAAGAGCAGCAAGUUGUCCUGUUUCUCAUGUACAACUGGAACCUGGGGUGGGGAGAUGGGCUCGUAGGGCUCUGAAGAGAUGUGACUCCUCUCUGGGGAUUUUCCAGGCCUACUAUUGUAAUAUGUAAAAUAUUAGAUUCUGUUUCAAAGGCGUACCUAGGACUUACCUAAACAGAAACUGGUUAACUUAUGACUUCAUUCAGAAGAAAGAGCAAAAGCUGCCAAUUUCUGUCAGUAAAAAGUUGCUUCAGGUAUUCACUAUAUACAUAGUUAUAAAAAAAAAUAAAACACUCUGUUACUGCCACUUGACCCACGAGUGCCCACGGCAUCAGAUAGGGCUGCCUGGGCAGCAGCAGCAGCAGAAGCUGUGUCCUGAGGCUCCACGUGUGUUUCAACGUCAGACGCCAUCCACCCUUUGCUCCUUAGUCCAGGUGAACCCUCAAGAGUUUUCCUAUUUUGAGUCAUGACUGACUAGUUUUUUCAUCAUCAAGUUAAAGAUAAAGGACUUCAGUACUAAAAGGAUACCCAAGAAGUUUUAUCAGAUAAGUCAACACAGGUUCUAGUUACACUAUAUUACGGCAGAGGGGUUCUCUGCAAUUUUACAUUUUUUUCUCUGGAUAUCAUUUGAUAAGAACAAUAUAUGACAGACACACUGUUUAGCUCCCACCAUUUAUUUUUAUUUUAUUUUAUUUGACAAAGUCUGGCUUUGUCACACAGGCUGGAGUGCAGUGGCGUGAUCUUGGCUCAUUGCAAUCUCUGCCUCCCAGGUUCAAGCAAUUCUCCUGCCUCAGCCUUCCAAGUAGCUAGGAUUACAGGCAAGUGCCACCAUGCUGGCUAAUUUCUCUAUUUUUUUUUUUUUAAUUUCCUUUUUUUCUUUCUUUUUCUUAUUGGCUACUGCUCAGCAACAUUUUUGUAUUUUUAGUAGAGACAGGGUUUCACUAUGUUGGUCAGGCCUCCUGACUUCAGGUGAUCUGCCCACCUCAGCCUCCCAAAGUGCUGGGAUUAUAGGCAUGAGCCACUCUGCCUGGCCCGUUUAUCUUAUUAUUACUAUUUUUAUUUUUUUAGAGACAGGGUCCUACUCUGUUGCCCAGACUGGAGUACAGGUAUGCAAACAAUCAUGGCUCACUGCAGCCUCAAAUUCCUGAGCUCAAGUAAUCCUCUCACUUCCGUCUCCCAAGUACUGGGAUUACAGGCAUGCGCCACCAUGCCUAGCUAAUGUUUUUAUUAUAUGUUUUAUUAUGUCAGUGUGGCUCCUUUUUAAUUUUUUGUAGAGACAGGGGGUCUCACUAUGUUGCUGGCCUCAAAUUCCUGGACUCAAGCAAUCCUCCCACCUCAGGAUGCAAAAGUAUUGGGAAUUACAAGCACCUGGUCCCACCACUCCUUCCCCUGACAUCCUCUUUUUUUUUUUUUUUUUUUUUUAAGACAGAGUCUCCCUCUGUCAUCCUGGCUGGAGUGCAGUGGCAUAAUCCUGGCUCACUACAAUGUCCGCCUCCCAGGCUAAAGGGAUUCUACUAUCUCAGCCUUCUGAGCAGCUUAGAUUACAGGUUGAUUGAUUUUUGUAUUUUUAUUAGGGACAGGGUUUCACCAUGUUGGCCAGGCUGGUCUCAAACUCUUGACCUCAAGUGAUCCACCCGCCUCAGCCUCCUAAAGUACUGGGAUCACAGGCGUGAGCCACCAUGGCCAGCCCCCUAAAAUUUUUUGAUAUAGUGAUUAUGCAUAUUAAAGCCACCUGUGACUUUCAAUAUCUGGAAUUAUGACAGUUAUACUUAAGCAAAAUUAUAAUAUGAUUUGUUAUGGCCCUUCCCAAUCAGCCCCUUCCAGUUGUUCAAGAUAGCCACAUUUUUUUUAGUUGCUUUGGUAUUUACCUCCAAAACUCUUUAAAUAAUCUUAAAUAUGUAAUUUUUUUAUCCAACUUGAAACAGUAUCUGUCAACUCUCUUCCAUGAAUAAUGAAGAAUUUAUCUUCUCUCUAGUUGCCUAUUUUAAUUUUUAUUUGAGAUGGAGUCUUACAGUGUCACCCGGGCUGCAGUGCAGUGGCUCACUGCAACCUUUGCCUCCCAGUUUCAAGAGCUUCUCCUUGCCUCAGCCUCCCAAGUAGCCGGGAUUACAAGAGUGCGCUACCAUGCCCAGCUAAUUUUUUUUGUAUUUUUAGUAGAAACAGGAUUUUACUAUGUUGGCCAGGCUGGGAUUACAGGAAUGAGCCACCGUGACCAGCCUUUUUUUUUUUGAGACGGAGUUUCGCUCUUGUUACCCAGGCUGGAGUGCAAUGGCGCAAUCACAACCUCUGCCUCCUGGGUUCAGGCAAUUCUCCUGCCUCAGCCUCCUGAGUAGCUGGGAUUACGGGCACACGCCACCAUGCCCAGCUAAUUAUUUUUUGUAUCUUUAGUAGAGACGGGGUUUCACCAUGCUGACCAGGUGGUCUCGAUCUCUUGACCUUGUGAUCCACCCGCCUCGGCCUCCCAAAGUGCUGGGAUUACAGGCUUGAGCCAUUUUAUUUUUAUUUUUUUGAGACAGGGUCUCCCUCUGUCACCCAGGCUAGAGUGCAGUAGUACGAUCACUGCUUACUGCAGCCUUGACUUCCAGGCUCAGGCGAUCCUCCUAACCUCGGGUUCCCAAGUAGCUGGGACUUGAGGAAGGACCCUUCCUAUCUCAUUCUGAGGCUGAUAUCAAAACGUGGCAGAGACACAACAACAAAAUGAAAACUUCAGGCCAAUAUCCUUGAUGAACAUCGAAGCAAAAAUCCUCAACAAAGUACUGGCAAACCAAAUCCAGCAGCAGGACAUUAAAAACUUAUCCGCUGGGCAUGGUGGCUCAUACCUGUAAUCCCAGCACUUUGGGAGGCCGAGGCGGGUGGAUCACGAGGUCAGGAGUUUGAGUCCAGCCUGGCCAACAUAGUGAAACCCCGUCUCUACAAAAAAUUUAAAAAUUAGCCAGGAAUGGUGGUAUGUACCUGUAAUCCCAGCUACUUGCGAGGCUGAAGCAGGAGAAUUGCUUGCACCCAGGAGGCAGAGGUUGUGGCAAGCCGAGAUAGCACCACUGCACUCCAGCCUGGGCAACAGAACGAGACUCUGCCUCUAAGAAAAAAAAUGAUAAACAAACAAAAAAGCUAUCCACCGCAAUCAAGUAGUUUUAUCCCUAAUAUGCAAGGUUGUUUCAAUAUACACAGAUCUCAACAGAUUCAGAAAAGGCUUUCAAUAAAAUUCAAUACCCUUUAUUGUUAAAAACUCUCAGUAAACUAGGUAUUAAAGAAGGAUGCCUCAACAUAAUAAAAGAGUCAUAAAUAAAAACCCACAGCUUACAUCAUACUGAAUGGGGAAAAGCUGGAAGUGUUCCUCUUGAAAGUCAGCACAAGACAAGGAUGCCCUCUGUCACCACUUUUAUUCAGCAUCCUAUUGGAAGUCAUGGCCAAGGUGAUCAGGCAAGAGAAAGAAACAGCAUCCAAAUAGGAAGAAAGGAAGUCAAACUAUCUCUGUUUGCAGAGGACAUAAUCCUCUAUCUAGAAAACUCCACAGACUCAGCCCCAAAGCUCCUAAAGCUGAUAAACAACUUCAGCAAAGUCUCAGGGUACAACAUCAAUGUGCAAAAAAGCACUAGCAUUGCUAUACACCAACACGAGUCAAGCCGACAGCCAAGUAAGGAAUGCAAUUUGAUUCACAACUGCCACAAAAAGAAUAAAAUACCUAGGAAUACAGCUAACCAGGGAGGUGAAAGAUCUCUGCAAGGAGAACUACAAAACACUUCUCAAAAAAAUAAGAGUUGACAUAUACAAAUGAACAAACAUUCCAUGCUCAUGGAUAGGAAUAAUCAAUAUCGUUAAAAUGGCCACACUGACCAAAGCAGUUUACAGAUUCAAUGCUAUUUCUAUUAAACUACCAAUGACAUUCUUCACAAAACUAAAAAAAAAAAAAAAAAAAAAAUUUAAAAAUUCA